UAGUACGCGAGGAAGAGGAAAGCUCAAUUUUGAAUCUGGGUCUUUGCGCCCGAGUGUAAUCUAGAGAAGUGUUUCUGCCUCGGACCACACAUAAAUUCCCUGGAAUGGGGUGUCAUAGAGGGUGAGAAUCCCGUUUGUGGUGUGGACUACCUUGGCUCUGUGAUACACUCUCAACGAGUCGAGUUGUUUGGGAAUGCAGCUCAAAAUGGGUGGUAAAUUCCAUCUAAAGCUAAAUAUUGGCGAGAGACCGAUAGCGAACAAGUACCGUGAGGGAAAGAUGAAAAGCACUUUGGAAAGAGAGUGAAACAGUACGUGAAAUUGUUGAAAGGGAAGCGUUUGAGGUCAGUCACAUCGGUCGGAAUUCAGCCUGGCUUUGCCUGGUGUACUUUCUGGCAGAUGGGUCAGCGUCAAUUUCGACUGAGGGAAAAAGACUUGAGGAAUGUGGCUGUCCUCGGGCAGUGUUAUAGCCUCUUGUUGUAUGUCUCAGUUGGGAUUGAGGACCGCAGCACGCCUUAUGGCCGGGGUUCGCGCCCUCGGAACGUGCUUAGGA
rnacentral:rRNA from 1 species